UCCAAUCCCACAUGACCUUCUUUGGAUGAAGACUGGCCUUUGGAGUUUUUAAUGGUGGUUCAUUUUUCUUACCCUAUGAUCGUUUUUGGCUAAUGUUAUUAUAAAUGAUUCACUUUUCAUCACCUGUCACUAAAUGCUUCAGAAAAAGGUCAUUUUCAUUUCAUCUUUCAAGAGAAUCACAAAUGGAGAUGCGAUCCAAUGUUGAAAUACAGUACUGUUUGAUGACUUCGCUAUGUCUGCAAUUUCUUGAGUGUAUAAUGAGGGUUUUCAUCCAAUAAUGCUUUGAUCUGGUCUUCUUCAAUAACGGAAGGUCUUCCCGAGCAGGGAGCAUCUUUAAGGCUGAAAUUACCUGCUUUAAAUUUUGCAAACCACUUUUGAACAGUUGAUUCUGCUACAGACUCCCACCAUAAACAUCACAUAUCUUUUUUGCUGUUUGUACAGCAUUUCUUCCUUUACGAUAAAAAAAAAAAAAAAAA